GGGGCUGUAGCUCAGUUGGGAGAGCGCGACAAUCGCAAUGUUGAGGCCGGGGGUUCGAGUCCCCCCAGCUCCACCA
rnacentral:tRNA from 1 species